rnacentral:rRNA from 1 species
UACGGGGGGGGCAAGCGUUGUUCGGAAUUACUGGGCGUAAAGGGCUCGUAGGCGGCCAACUAAGUCGGAUGUGAAAUCCCCAGGCUUAACCUGGGAACUGCAUCCGAUACUGGAUGGCUUGAAUCCGGGAGAGGGAUGCGGAAUUCCAGGUGUAGCGGUGAAAUGCGUAGAGACCCGGAGGAACACCAGUGGCGAAGGCGGCUUCCUGGUCUGCAACUGACGCUGUGGAGCGAAAGCGUGGGGAGCGAACAGG